rnacentral:rRNA from 1 species
CAAUCUGCCCGGAGGUGGGGGAUAACUCUCGGAAACGGGGGCUAAUACCGCAUGAUAUCUCGAGGACUCCGGUCCUUGCGAUCAAAGCUAGCCUCUUCUUGAAAGCUAGCGCCAUCGGAGGAGCUCGCGGCCCAUUAGCUUGUUGGUGAGGUAACGGCUCACCAAGGCUACGAUGGGUAGCCGGCCUGAGAGGGCGAUCGGCCACACUGGAACUGAGACACGGUCCAG